GUAUGGUGCAAGCGUUAUCCGGAUUUACUGGGUGUAAAGGGAGCGUAGACGGCUGUGUAAGUCUGAAGUGAAAGCCCGGGGCUCAACCCCGGGACUGCUUUGGAAACUAUGCAGCUAGAGUGUCGGAGAGGUAAGUGGAAUUCCCAGUGUAGCGGUGAAAUGCGUAGAUAUUGGGAGGAACACCAGUGGCGAAGGCGGCUUACUGGACGAUGACUGACGUUGAGGCUCGAAAGCGUGGGGAGCAAACAGGAUUAGAUACCCUGGUAGUCCACGCCGUAAACGAUGACUACUAGGUGUCGGGGAGCAAAGCUCUUCGGUGCCGCAGCAAACGCAAUAAGUAGUCCACCUGGGGAGUACGUUCGCAAGAAUGAAACUCAAAGGAAUUGACGG
rnacentral:rRNA from 1 species